AGCGAACGCUGGCGGCAUGCCUAACACAUGCAAGUCGAGCGCUCCCAGCAAUGGGGGAGCGGCGGACGGGUGAGUAACGCGUAGGAACGUAUCCUGAGGUGGGGGAUAACCCUGGGAAACUAGGGCUAAUACCGCAUGAUGGCGAGAGCCCAAAGAUUUAUCGCCUUGGGAGCGGCCUGCGUCUGAUUAGCUUGUUGGUGGGGUAACGGCCUACCAAGGCGAUGAUCAGUAGCUGGUCUGAGAAGAUGAUCAGCCACACUGGGACUGAGACACGGCCCAGACUCCUACGGGAGGCAGCAGUGGGGAAUAUUGGACAAUGGGCGAAAGCCUGAUCCAGCAAUGCCGCGUGGAUGAAGAAGGUCUUCGGAUUGUAAAGUCCUUUCGGCGGGGACGAUGAUGACGGUACCCGCAGAAGAAGCCCCGGCUAACUUCGUGCCAGCAGCCGCGGUAAGGCACGACUGU
rnacentral:rRNA from 1 species